GUUGCGUUUGCACUUUUAAGUGCUUUGUUUUUUAAGACCAACUUCUGCUUUUUAUGGCAUGUCUGAGCUGACUCUGAGUGAGGACAUUUAUCACCUGUGUGCUUUUUCUCCUUUAUCAUGGUCUGGUUAAAUCUUUCUCAGACACUCGGCCCUCGCUCCUGCAGUGUUAACAGUCUGACAUGAUGGAUGCUAGUCAUGAGAGAGGGGGCACAAACUAUUGGAGCAUAUCAAGAAAACAUUUCCUCCAACCUCCAAAAAACAUGCAGGACGGUGUAGUGCUGAAUUGCCCCUCUACUAGAGAAAGAGAGAGCGGUGAGGGAACGACUGUUUAUAGAUGCUAUGAUGUAAGUUAGAACAGGAACCCAUUAGUUUUAUGGAAGACUUUGUGGUUAAACUCCUUGUUUCUUUUUUUUGUUAAUCAUCUAAUUUAGCAGAUAGGUUAAAAGGGGGGGGGGGUAUUUUUGGUUUCCAAUUUUAAUGAAUAAAAUAGCUAUUGUGUUAAUAAUCUAUAUCAGUAUUAAGUAAUUCUAACAUAAUAAUUCUAUUUAGCUAAUUUUGUUCUUUGCUAUAAUUCUGAUGAAAUAGUUCUGGUACUCGUCCUUAUCAAAAACAAAUGCAGUUGACUUGCACAACCACACUGUGGCGCUGUUUACUUUAUUCCAGGCUGGUUUUGAUGGGUCAUAAAUCAUGACCAGGGAAUCUAGAUGUAAAAAAAAAAAAAAAAAAAAGUUUACAUAAAAACGAUUUGCUUAUAAUAAUAAUUAUUAUUUUCAUCAUUCCUCAAAUAUGUUGCGUCAUUGAACACAAAUAAAAGUAUAAUUCAGUGAAUCACCUCUGGCUGAUAGCAGAAUGAUUCAGGCUAUGGAAAGAAAGGUUACUGGGAGAAAGAAUCCUGAUUGGUUGGGUCUCAGCACUGUGGGUGAGUACUGUGUAUCUACCGCCAAACCUGUUCUUUUAUAAUAUAUUUAUUUUCUUUUUGAUCAUCAGGUGUUUGUGUAAAACAUAAUUAUUUAAAAAAAAAAACACGUCAAACUUUUUUUCAAACGUGUAGGAAAAUU